rnacentral:rRNA from 1 species
UACGUAGGGUGCAAGCGUUGUCCGGAAUUAUUGGGCGUAAAGAGCUCGUAGGCGGUUUGUCACGUCUGCUGUGAAAACUCGGGGCUUAACUCCGGGCCUGCAGUGGGUACGGGCAGACUAGAGUGCGGUAGGGGAGACUGGAAUUCCUGGUGUAGCGGUGAAAUGCGCAGAUAUCAGGAGGAACACCGGUGGUGUAGACGGCUCACUGGACCGUAACUGACGCUGAGACACGAAAGCGUGGGUAGCAAACAGG